GACGAACCGUGCGAACGUUGUUCGGAAUCACUGGGCUUAAAGGGCGCGUAGGCGGGCUCACAAGUCCGGGGUGAAAGCCCCCAGCUCAACUGGGGAAGCGCCUUGGAUACUGUGGGCCUCGAGGGAGGUAGGGGCGUGCGGAACUUCCGGUGGAGCGGUGAAAUGCGUAGAUAUCAGGAGGAACACCGGUGGCGAAAGCGGCUCACUGGACCGUUACUGACGCUGAGGUGCGAAAGCUAGGGGAGCAAACGGG
rnacentral:rRNA from 1 species